GACGAACGCUGGCGGCGUGCUUAACACAUGCAAGUCGAACGGAAAGGCCGCGUUCGGGGGGUACUCGAGUGGCGAACGGGUGAGUAACACGUGUGUAACCUGCCCUUCACUUUGGGAUAACUUCAGAAAACUGGGGCUAAUACCGGAUAGGAGCUCCUUCUGCAUGGUGGGGGUCGGAAAGUUUCGGCGGUUGGGGCUGGGCUCGCGGCUUAUCAGCUUGUUGUUGGUGGAGUGGCUGACCGAGGCCUUGGCGUGUAGCCGGCCUGGGUGUGAGACCGGCCACAUUGAGACUGGGAUACGGCCCCGACUCCGACUGGAGGGGGAAGUGGGGGAGGUUGCUAAAGGGGUGGGGGCCAGAUGCAGAAACGCCGUGGGCGCGAGAGUGGUCUUGGGGUUAGAAACCGAAUUCGCUCAUGACCAAGAUUUGUGUGACGGUAGUGGGUAAAUAAGCACCGGCUAACUACGUG
rnacentral:rRNA from 1 species